GCCAGACUCCUACGGGAGGCAGCAGUGGGGGAUAUUGCACAAUGGGGGAAACCCUGAUGCAGCGACGCCGCGUGAGCGAUGAAGUAUUUCGGUAUGUAAAGCCCUAUCGGCAGGGAAGAAGAAAUGACGGUACCUGAAUAAGAAGCACCGGCUAAAUACGUGCCAGCAGCCGCGGUAAUACGUAUGGUGCAAGCGUUAUCCGGAUUUACUGGGCGUAAAGGGAGCGCAGACGGCGCGCCAAGUCUGAUGUGAAACCCCGGGGCUCAACCCCGGGCAUGCAUUGGAAACUGGCGGGCUGGAGUGCCGGAGAGGUAAGCGGAAUUCCUAGUGUAGCGGUGAAAUGCGUAGAUAUUAGGAGGAACACCAGUGGCGAAGGCGGCUUACUGGACGGCAACUGACGCUGAGGCUCGAAAGCGUGGGGAGCAAACAGGAUUAGAUACCCCAGUAG
rnacentral:rRNA from 1 species